CCUAGCGUGGCCGUCGACGGUUCCCGAAAGGGAUCAAAAGGGAACGCGGUGAAGGGCCUUUGCCCGAUCCCGCGGCUGCCCCCGCAACUGUGAGCGGAGAGCCCUCCAUCACCACGUCACUGGGCGAGCCUUCGCCUGGGAAGACGAUGGAGGACAACGACCCGCGAGCCAGGAGACCUGCCGUCAGCCGUGGUCACAC
rnacentral:ncRNA from 1 species